UCGAGGGGCAUCAGGAAGAAGCUUGCUUUCUUUGCUGGCGACCGGCGCACGGGUGAGUAACACGUAUCCAACCUGCCCUUUACUCGGGGAUAGCCUUUCGAAAGAAAGAUUAAUACCCGGUGGCAUAAUGAUUCCGCAUGGUUUCAUUAUUAAAGGAUUCCGGUAAAGGAUGGGGAUGCGUUCCAUUAGGUUGUUGGUGAGGUAACGGCUCACCAAGCCUUCGAUGGAUAGGGGUUCUGAGAGGAAGGUCCCCCACAUUGGAACUGAGGCACGGUCCAAACUCCUACGGGAGGCAGCAGUGAGGAAUAUUGGUCAAUGGGCGCUAGCCUGAACCAGCCAAGUAGCGUGAAGGAUGAAGGCUCUAUGGGUCGUAAACUUCUUUUAUAUAAGAAUAAAGUGCAGUAUGUAUACUGUUUUGUAUGUAUUAUAUGAAUAAGGAUCGGCUAACUCCGUGCCAGCAGCCGCGGUAAUACGGAGGAUCCGAGCGUUAUCCGGAUUUAUUGGGUUUAAAGGGAGCGUAGGUGGACUGGUAAGUCAGUUGUGAAAGUUUGCGGCUCAACCGUAAAAUUGCAGUUGAUACUGUCAGUCUUGAGUACAGUAGAGGUGGGCGGAAUUCGUGGUGUAGCGGUGAAAUGCUUAGAUAUCACGAAGAACUCCGAUUGCGAANGCAGCUCACUGGACUGCAACUGACANUGAUGCUCGAAAGUGUGGGUAUC
rnacentral:rRNA from 1 species